GACGAACCGUGCAAACGUUAUUCGGAAUCACUGGGCAUAAAGGGCGCGUAGGCGGCUUCAUAAGUCAGGGGUGAAAUCCGGCAGCUUAACUGUCGCAGUGCCUUUGAUACUGUGGAGCUCGAGGGAGGUAGGGGUCUGUGGAACUUCCGGUGGAGCGGUGAAAUGCUUAGAUAUCGUCAAGAACACCGAUAGUGAGGACAGUUUACUAGGCUUCUACUGACGCUGAGGCACGAAAGUGUGGGGAUCAAACAGG
rnacentral:rRNA from 1 species